GUCCCUUUGGGGACAUCCGAUAAAAUUGGAAUGAUACAGAGAAAUUUAGCAUGGUCCCUAUCACCCUGUGCAAGGAUGACAUGCACAAAAAAUGAUGACCAAAAGGAUUCU
rfam:Cucumis melo, WGS project CAJI01000000 data, contig: 07916